AUUGAACGCUGGCGGCAGGCCUAACACAUGCAAGUCGAGCGGAUGAAGGGAGCUUGCUCCUGGAUUCAGCGGCGGACGGGUGAGUAAUGCCUAGGAAUCUGCCUGGUAGUGGGGGAUAACGUCCGGAAACGGGCGCUAAUACCGCAUACGUCCUGAGGGAGAAAGUGGGGGAUCUUCGGACCUCACGCUAUCAGAUGAGCCUAGGUCGGAUUAGCUAGUUGGUGGGGUAAAGGCCUACCAAGGCGACGAUCCGUAACUGGUCUGAUAGGAUGAUCAGUCACACUGGAACUGAGACACGGUCCAGACUCCUACGGGAGGCAGCAGUGGGGAAUAUUGGACAAUGGGCGAAAGCCUGAUCCAGCAAUGCCGCGUGUGUGAAGAAGGUCUUCGGAUUGUAAAGCACUUUAAGUUGGGAGGAAGGGCAGUAAGUUAAUACCUUGCUGUUUUGACGUUACCAACAGAAUAAGCACCGGCUAACUUCGUG
rnacentral:rRNA from 1 species